AAUCAUGAAAUAAUCAUAAAAGCAUGAACCCUCGGCGCUGCUCUGUCUAUGGGGUAACCAUUCUUUUAUUCCUUUACUUGCCUAAUGAACUUGCUUUCACUUUACUCUAUGGACUCACCCUCAAUUAUUU